CUUAAAAUGUCGAAAGUAAUACUAGAUUCCUUACCAAAACCUUAGUGUUUUCUUUUUCACUAUUUUCCUUUCUUUCUCUUCUUCUUUCACUAAUUUACUAUCUCUCUCUCUAAACCUUUGAGAAAUAGAAGAAAUGGAAGUGUAGAGAGGAAGGGAAGGAGAAGGGAAAUUAAUAGAAUUUCGGAACUAUUUGAUUCAUGCCAAGUGGCAAAAUCUGUUGAAGAGAAAGGAGAAAAGAUUCUUGGUACGAAAAGAAAGGGAGGAAAAUUUCCUCCACCGGCGGUGGCGGCGCACUGACCAAGGCAGCGGAUGGGACAUGCGAACAUGCAUGCAUGCAGAUGGGACGUGCGCAUUGUGCACAUGCCUUGCAGCCACUGUACGCUCAUGCGCGCACUUAGUGCCUGCACUCGCACAGACAAA
rnacentral:lncRNA from 1 species